rnacentral:rRNA from 1 species
UACGUAGGCAGCGAGCGUUGUUCGGAGUUACUGGGCGUAAAGCGUGCGUAGGCGGUUUUCCAAGUCUGGUGUGAAAUCUCCCGGCUCAACCGGGAGGGUGCGCUAGAAACUGGGAGGCUGGAGUGCGGGAGAGGUAGGCGGAAUUCCUGGUGUAGCGGUGAAAUGCGUAGAUAUCAGGAGGAACACCGGUGGUGUAGACGGCCUGCUGGACCGUAACUGACGCUGAGGCACGAAAGCGUGGGGAGCAAACAGG